UACGGAGGGGGCUAGCGUUGUUCGGAAUUACUGGGCGUAAAGCGCGCGUAGGCGGACCUGCAAGUCGGGGGUGAAAGCCCGAGGCUCAACCUCGGAACUGCCUUCGAUACUGCGGGUCUCGAGUCCGGGAGAGGUGAGUGGAAUUCCUAGUGUAGAGGUGAAAUUCGUAGAUAUUGGGAAGAACACCAGUGGCGAAGGCGGCUAACUGGUCCGGUACUGACGCUGAGGUGCGAAAGCGUGGGGAGCAAACAGG
rnacentral:rRNA from 1 species